GUUGAUGUUAAAAAUUGCCGAAAAACUGCCGAAUAUUCAACCACUUCUCAGCCUCAACGGAUACGGAUACCUAUGGAAUUACAUCCAUUGCAUGCACCCAACCAAUAGAAACAGCAGAAGUCGGAACGCCCUUAAAAGAACUGUGCAGCUCGCUUCCCAAGGAUUUCCGCUGGUGGAACUUCCGUUCUUGAUAGUGCUAUCACUAUUCGGGAAAAUUCGGCAUGCAUGUAGCCGACGGCCGGCGAUGAAAUACCCGCACCGGUACUCAAGUAUAGUUACGAUUGUAAUUGUGACCUGCAGAUUCCCUGAAAUAGCGCAAAUCUAUGACCGCAGCAGAGGCUAUUCCAAGCAAAAUCUUCUUUUACAUCUGGCAGCUGUACUUUGGGCGGCUAUGGACUCCCCAGAAGCAGUGCAAAAUCUAUGUUGGAUCACAUCCCAUCACCCCACCCGGUUUUCUCAUAACCCCUCAUAGAGCAAACCAAUACACCGUGAUAACACCAGCGAAGCCAUCUAGUCCUGCUAGAGCAUUCCUCAUUUCGAACCAAAAUGUGGAAUCCGUCGAAUCAGCAGCCACCGUAUUCACAGUUCCAGCUGCCAGCCGUGGAACAAAUUGUCAUCCACACCACAAAGUGUUCAACGAGAUGAACACCCGUUUCGCCCACGCAACAAGGAGGAAUAUCAGACGGCGGAACCAACUGUUACUUAUGUCACCAGAAGUAGCUCCUGCUGUUCCCGAUUUUAAAAGUGGUAUAUGCUUUCGUUUUAUUAGAUAGAGGCUUCAAUUAUGUACUAUGUUGAACUUGUAUUAAUG